rnacentral:rRNA from 1 species
UAAUACCGGCGCCUCAAGUGGUAGUCGCUUUUAUUGGGCCUAAAACGUCCGUAGCCGGUUUGGUACAUUCGUGGGUAAAUCAAGGCGCUCAACGUCUUGAAUUCUGCGAGCACGGCCAGACUUGGGACCGGGUGAGGUGUGGGGUACUCUCAGGGUAGGGGUAAAAUCCUGUCAUCCUGAGAGGACCACCUGUUGCGAAGGCGCCACACUAGAACGGAUCCGACGGUCAGGGACGAAGCCUAGGGGCACGAACCGGAUUAGAUACCCGGGUAGUCCUAGGUGUAAACGCUGUGGACUUGAUGUUGGGAGUGCUCCGAGCACCCUCAGUGUCGAAGCGAAGGUGAUAAGUCCACUGCCUGGGGAGUACGGUCGCAAGGCUG